CACAAACAUUGUCCGCAAUUGCAACCGAAGAUUUUUGGAUGAACCACAGAUGAUUGGAUGAAGGCUUUCAGUUGUCCAGGCCAGGCCAGGUGACCAAUGACGAUGAUAGAUCGGGUUCGAUUCAAGCUAUACGCUUGGUGUAUUUGGUUAUCGUGACUGGCGACUUGAGUCUAACUCAUCUCAUGUCCAAAGCACGGUGGCUGAGUCCCAGGCAUGCUUGCCACUUUGUUCCACGGUCCUCAUCUAUGUUUCAACGGUGAUGACAUGGACUUAGGUUCAAGGUACAUGUUCCCCUUGAGUCAUUGUGGUUGAUUGAUGGGGGCAAUAAACGGUUGCGUGUCGCUAGUCAUUCACAAUAUCGCCUGUUGUAGAGUGUUGAUGGGAUUAGUCGUACGAAUGUUAACAAUAGUACGCAAUAGCCGGCCGGCGUCCCCCUACCUGAUCUCGAGGGUGAUGGAAUGACUGGGGUUAAGACCUGUUGUUAGCCUGCGGAAUUUCGUCGAACGAAAUGUCAGGCGUGUCCGUGUGGUACUUGUGCUAAACCAGUUUAGUGCUAAUGACAGAGACAUUGGGCUCUUUGGAUAACAACAGUGUUCUUAACCUCCUUGUGCUUCACAAAGCUAAAAAUAUACACCCCCUGAAAUUGACAAGACGGCGAUGAAGAAGGAGAGCCGGCCUCCAGCUUGUCAGCCAAGAAGACACUGGAAGGACCCAAGGAUAUGUUGCUGCCAAUGUUGGAGCCAUACAUGGCAGCUCGAACCAACAUUGUACAAGGGCUGCAAAGUCGAGGGAAAUAAGGACAAGGGACUCGAGGACAAGGGACACAAGGACAAGGGACAAAAAAGACGAUGUUGCAGUCUAGAGGCCCUCUGCAGAUUGAGAUGAUGGCUGUCGAGAAGACCCAACCACUCAACCAAGAUCUACAAUUCGUGCUAUGGUAGAUGUGACUCUCAAAGAUUUUUGAUGAUGAAAGAAUCUAACGCAUAUAUGUCGCUCACAGAUACGGGCAGACGACCGAGGGUCGAGUGGAUUCAGAGGAUCAAAUGGUUGCGCUGAGGGAUAUGUGCAGGAGUGACGAACCACAGUUCAGCAAACGAUGCCUUGACAGACCAAUUCAAGGGGAACCUUCGCUAAGAUCAGGAAGGGAACGUGUUUGCUGUGGGGAUGGAUUGAACACUUAAAUGGCCGUCAUUCUAAUAGACUAUAAUGACAAUCUUCUGAUGGACUAUAAUGACAAUCCAACUCCGAAAGGACUCUCUGGACUUAGGGAAAGCUACGGACAUAGAGCCCUGACAUGAUCCUGCAGCCACCAUAGGACAGCCUAUCUCAUACCUUCGGAAGGAUGCCAUCACACGCAUGAUGAGCCAUCCCACAGGAGGGAGAAGGAUGUUGUUGACCCAGCACAUCCCAACCUUUCUCCCAUCGCCGUCAAGUAACAGUACGACGGUUAGAUUGUAUUUUGUCACCGCAGGCCUUAUCUUUUUAUCAAAAUAUCUGAUUGAAAGGUGAUUUAACGAAAAUUUUAAUUUUUCUGAUGGUGGGAAGGUAAAUAUUUACCUUGCUAAUGACAAGCAUAGAUUCUUUUAAUCUAUGCUUGGUUAUGACCAUGACUUAUAAACACCAUGGUUCAAAAUUUUACACCUUUAUCCAAUGAAGGAAUUGAAAUUAUCAUUAUGGGUGGUUGGGCUGUUUCUAGCUAACAAGGGAGCCAAUAAGGCAUGCCAAAACCCAAACAAAAUAAUUUUA